AACGCGAAGAACCUUACCAGGUCUUGACAUCCUCUGACACUCCUAGAGAUAGGACGUUCCCCUUCGGGGGACAGAGUGACAGGUGGUGCAUGGUUGUCGUCAGCUCGUGUCGUGAGAUGUUGGGUUAAGUCCCGCAACGAGCGCAACCCUUGAUCUUAGUUGCCAGCAUUCAGUUGGGCACUCUAAGGUGACUGCCGGUGACAAACCGGAGGAAGGUGGGGAUGACGUCAAAUCAUCAUGCCCCUUAUGACCUGGGCUACACACGUGCUACAAUGGAUGGUACAAAGGGCUGCAAAACCGCAAGGUUAAGCCAAUCCCAUAAAACCAUUCUCAGUUCGGAUUGUAGGCUGCAACUCGCCUACAUGAAGCCGGAAUCGCUAGUAAUCGCGGAUCAGCAUGCCGCGGUGAAUACGUUCCCGGGCCUUGUA
rnacentral:rRNA from 1 species